UACGAAGGGGGCUAGCGUUGCUCGGAAUCACUGGGCGUAAAGGGUGCGUAGGCGGGGUUUUAAGUCAGGGGUGAAAUCCUGGAGCUCGACUCCAGAACUGCCUUUGAUACUGAAGAUCUUGAGUCCGGGAGAGGUGAGUGGAACUGCGAGUGUAGAGGUGAAAUUCGUAGAUAUUCGCAAGAACACCAGUGGCGAAGGCGGCUCACUGGCCCGGUACUGACGCUGAGGCACGAAAGCGUGGGGAGCAAACAGG
rnacentral:rRNA from 1 species